UCUCCAUCAGGGGUCAAGAGUGUUGAGGCUUUAAUCUUUCAUUCCAAAAGGUGGAUUAGCGUGGGACCGAGUAGGUUUUGAUGUGAAUUUUGAGGAUAUCAUAUCUAUGAGUAAUAAUAAUUGAUGAAGGAUGAGAGCAUGGAUAUAAGAUUGAUCAAAGUGAUAGAUUUAUUUCAAGGAGAAAGAUUGAAAUUGUAAUAGAUAGAUAUUGGUUUACUUAGACAAUAUUUUUUGGUUUUAUUACCCUGUGAUGAUUAUAUUUUGGUUUAGCCUUAGCACUUAGGUCUGUUAGUUGCCUAAGUGUGACGGUAAUUCCCUCAAUAAGAUUUUGAAAA